AUGUUUAAAAAAAAUAAUAGUGUUGCAUUCCUCACCAUAAGGAAGCAUUACUCAGAGGCACAUGAAAUGAGUACCAAAAGUGGCAUCCGAAUGGCUCAAAGUAGAUAUGUGUAUACAUUUUUAAAAGAUGAGGAGCAUUAUGAACAUGCUCUCUUAGCCUCCUCCUUCCCUUCUCUUUCUCCCAUCAGGUGCCUUGUCCUUGCUCUCCCCUCUCAUUUGCUGAUGGCUGAUAACACCUUAUCUCCACCAGGGAAGCAACUGGGAAGUUUGCUCCUUCCUCACAAGACUGAAGAGCCUGGAAUCUCCAGCAUUGGAAUACUUUUCCUGCACUUUAAUCUGAUCUGCCCUGUAGUCCCUCUAAAAAACUGGGUCAGCAGUAGCCAACAGAGGGUAUUCAGUCAAGCCCAAGCAGCAGAGAAGCACUUUGGCAUUCCCUGAAGACAAAACAGAAACCAAGUGGAAAUGGUAAGUUCACUGUCUUCCUUUCAGAGAUGACUAAAGGUAGGAGGGGGGAUUGCCUGGAAUGAGGGUUGGGGUAGCAGCUGGCACAGAGCUGCUUGUGUCCCCCCUAAGCCUCCAGGGCUACUGCAAACAUUUGCAAAACAGCCUGCUGAAUUUGAUUUGCAAAACUCUCAGUGCUAAACUCUUAACCAUUCUAAAUGUACUGUAACAGUGCCUUUUGACUAAAAAAUAGUUCGGACUAAUUGUUAAGGAUCAGAUAACAGGAAAAUAUUUCUAUUUGACAGUCUACUAUUUUUCAAUUGUUCCUCUGUUACAUAUCUAAGUAAACAUUUGUUCCACUUACCAUUUCUGAGCAAAUGACAUGAAUCAUUUGACUAGUAAAACCACAACGACAGCUGUUGCUUAUUAGAAACAGUCAUCUUGUUCAAGGGCCUGCUAUGAAGGGGUUCUUCAGGAAACUGUUUCUGCUUUUAGUGCUUUACAGUGUAAUGAAAGCAAAGUUGCAGAAAUUAGGGCAUUUUUAUUUCAUCUAUGUGAUUGGCAAAACACAGGCACACACACAGAACAAUCAUUACAGCUGAGCUAUUAGCCCCCAAGAAAAUGGAAAAUUCUCAUUUAAGAAUACAGCUAAUGCUAUAAUACUUAUUUUCUUUGACUUAGUAAUGUUUAUAUGGUCAACCAAAAGUAGGAUCUAAGGAUCCCUUUGGAAUUAGGUUAUAUCAUUUAGACUUUGGGAUUUUGGUAAUGGAUGAAAUAUGUAUACUAGUUAAAAAGGCUGUACCAGAAUAUUUUUCACCAUUCAUGGUCUUUAUAGGUCUUAGAAACAGAUUAAUUCUGGAUUCAUAAAAAUAAAUAAAUAAAUAAUAAAUAGAAACCUGUCA
rnacentral:lncRNA from 1 species